rnacentral:rRNA from 2 species
GGGUUGUGAGGUUAAGCGACUAAGCGUACACGGUGGAUGCCCUGGCAGUCAGAGGCGAUGAAGGACGUGCUAAUCUGCGAUAAGCGUCGGUAAGGUGAUAUGAACCGUUAUAACCGGCGAUUUCCGAAUGGGGAAACCCAGUGUGAUUCGUCACACUAUCAUUAACUGAAUCCAUAGGUUAAUGAGGCGAACCGGGGGAACUGAAACAUCUAAGUACCCCGAGGAAAAGAAAUCAACCGAGAUUCCCCCAGUAGCGGCGAGCGAACGGGGAGCAGCCCAGAGCCUGAAUCAGUGUGUGUGUUAGUGGAAGCGUCUGGAAAGGCGCGCGAUACAGGGUGACAGCCCCGUACACAAAAAUGCACAUGCUGUGAGCUCGAUGAGUAGGGCGGGACACGUGGUAUCCUGUCUGAAUAUGGGGGGACCAUCCUCCAAGGCUAAAUACUCCUGACUGACCGAUAGUGAACCAGUACCGUGAGGGAAAGGCGAAAAGAACCCCGGCGAGGGGAGUGAAAAAGAACCUGAAACCGUGUACGUACAAG